rnacentral:lncRNA from 1 species
AGUUGAUAAUAUCUCCUUAAAAAAAUUUACUUUCAUUAAGAGAAAAUAAUAACCUAAAGUGAGUGGAGCUCAAUCUAACAUCACAUGAUUAAGUUUUAGAAGUUCAAAAUAUUAGAAUGAUGAAUUGGAGGGAUAACGAAGUGGAGAGGCAGAAGAAGCUUGAAAUUGAAGCUUACUGUUAUGCUUUUCAAUCAAGAAAUUGACAUUUUUCUUUUAAUGUUUUGUCCACAUCAAAGUUUAAAUGGGGCAUUCUCAACAAAAGAAAAUGUCCGAACAGAGUCACUUGUACAGUUGUUCUUCAAAUUGAGGUUGAAAAUGUCAUAACAUCAAGUGAGUGUAAUUCAUUAAGGUAGUGUUUACAUUUUGGAUUGGAGUGAAAAUCCUGAGGAGUGUGAAUCCUAAGAUUGAGAGUUUAAAGUGGGUGUGGGUGUAGGUUGUUUAAUUACAUUGGAAUGAGAGAAUAGAAUUGACACUAGAAUCAAAUUUAUGUGUUUACAUUGUCUUGGAUUGGGAAUAAAUGUUUUAAAUUAUAAUUUUACCCUUAUUUAAAGAAUUA